rnacentral:rRNA from 1 species
UGGGGAAUUUUGGACAAUGGGGGAAACCCUGAUCCAGCCAUCCCGCGUGUGCGAUGAAGGCCUUCGGGUUGUAAAGCACUUUUGGCAGGAAAGAAACGUCAUGGGUUAAUACCCCGUGAAACUGACGGUACCUGCAGAAUAAGCACCGGCUAACUACGUGCCAGCAGCCGCGGUAAUACGUAGGGUGCAAGCGUUAAUCGGAAUUACUGGGCGUAAAGCGUGCGCAGGCGGUUCGGAAAGAAAGAUGUGAAAUCCCAGAGCUCAACUUUGGAACUGCAUUUUUAACUACCGGGCUAGAGUGUGUCAGAGGGAGGUGGAAUUCCGUGUGUAGCAGUGAAAUGCGUAGAUAUGCGGAGGAACACCGAUGGCGAAGGCAGCCUCCUGGGAUAACACUGACGCUCAUGCACGAAAGCGUGGGGAGCAAACAGG